rnacentral:rRNA from 1 species
GUAAGGAAUAUUGGUCAAUGGACGCAAGUCUGAACCAGCCAUGCCGCGUGAGGGAUGAAGGUCCUCUGGAUUGUAAACCUCUUUUAUCUGUGAAUAAACGUUCCGUUUCUACGGAAUUUGAAGGUAAUAGAUGAAUAAGCACCGGCUAACUCCGUGCCAGCAGCCGCGGUAAUACGGAGGGUGCAAGCGUUAUCCGGAUUUACUGGGUUUAAAGGGUGCGUAGGUGGGUUGGGAAGUCAGUGGUGAAAUACUUUCGCUUAACGAAGGAACUGCCAUUGAUACUAUCAAUCUUGAAUGUAGUGGAGGUAGGCGGAAUGCGUCAUGUAGCGGUGAAAUGCUUAGAUAUGACGCAGAACACCAAUUGCGAAGGCAGCUUGCUACACUACUAUUGACACUGAGGCACGAAAGCGUGGGGAUCAAACAGGAUUAGAAACCCUGGUAGUCC